GCUUAGCUCAGUUGGCUAGAGCAACUGACUCUUAAUCAGUGGGUCGAGGGUUCGAAUCCCUCAG
rnacentral:tRNA from 1 species